AUCUAUCACUACUAAUCUAUACCAUUGUCAAUCUAUCUAUUACUGCUAAUCUAUUACUGCUGUCAAUCUAUCUACUACUGUCAAUCUAUCUAUCACUGUCAAUCUAUCUACUACUAUUAAUCUAUCACUACUAAUCUAUUGCUGCUAAUCUAUUACUGCUAAUCUAUCUAUCACUAUUAAUCUAUUACUGUCAAUCUAUCUACCACUGUCAAUCUAUCUAUCACUGUCAAUCUAUCUACUACUGUUAAUCUAUCUAUCACUGUUAAUCUAUCACUGUUAAUCUAUCACUGUCAAUCUAUCUACUGCUGUCAAUCUAUCUACUGCUGUCAAUCUAUCUACCACUGCUAAUCUAUCACUGCUAAUCUAUUGCUGC
rnacentral:sRNA from 2 species